rnacentral:rRNA from 1 species
AUUGAACGCUGGCGGAAUGCUUUACACAUGCAAGUCGAACGGCAGCACGGGUGCUUGCACCUGGUGGCGAGUGGCGAACGGGUGAGUAAUACAUCGGAACGUACCCAGUUAUGGGGGAUAACUAACCGAAAGGUUAGCUAAUACCGCAUACGCCCUGAGGGGGAAAGCGGGGGACCGGAAGGCCUCGCGUAAUUGGAGCGGAGGGUGUCUGAUUAGCUAGUUGGUGAGGUAAAGGCUCACCAAGGCGACGAUCAGUAGCAGGUCUGAGAGGAUGAUCUGCCACACUGGAACUGAGACACGGUCCAGACUCCUACGGGAGGCAGCAGUGGGGAAUUUUGGACAAUGGGCGAAAGCCUGAUCCAGCCAUUCCGCGUGAGUGAAGAAGGCCUUCGGGUUGUAAAGCUCUUUCGGCAGGGAAGAAACGCUCUGGGAUAAUACUCCGGGGUAAUGACGGUACCUGAAGAAGAAGCACCGGCUAACUACGUGCCAGCAGCCGCGGUAAGAC